GAAGAAGCCACCCAAUGUGAGAAAGAAAUAAGCAACGGGGGUGAUGUCCGUCUUUAUGCCCAGCAAAGCCAGCCCCAGUAGGAAGGAGGUGCAGCACAGGAGGAGAAGCGGCUUCUCCAGUCUCCCCAGUUCUUCAAUCUCAAAUCAAAUAAAUCAUCUGUAGAGUCCCCUCCAGUUCCGAAAUUCUCUCUAUGUCUUGGAGUGUGUGGAAUAGCCAGGAAACCAGCCCAGGAGCUUUGACUCCCAGCCAUUCUUGUCAGCCCAUGCUCCAGGUGGAGGGAGAAAGUGCACACAGGCGCACCAAAGCCACAGGGACACAACUGCUUGAGAAACAAUUGUACAGGCAAAGGCCCAGCACAAUGGCCGGAGGCCCUGAUAACUCCUGUCCUCUUCUAGACCCC